rnacentral:snoRNA from 1 species
AACCCAUGAUGAGGACACUUUAAGAGUAAACCAUUAAAUCUCUCUCAUGCUUCAAAGAAUUGUUCAUUCUCUUUUUGUGUAAACUCUAAAAUCUUCCUGCGAAU